UUUUAGACUGUGCUAGCUUCUGUAAUAAUUACUAUUGUAACUCUGGUUUGACACAGAAGUACAUAAAAAUGAAAAGGGAAGAGUGGUCUGUAUUUGUUCUCCUUUGGGGAAUGAUUAAAUUUCUUCAGUAAAUAGGUUUUGUUAAAAUAUGGGUCCUAUAUGUUCAUUCCAAGAAUCAGAAAGUCAGGCUGUGCAAAUACAUAGAGAUGGGUACUAUUUCAUUGCUGGCAGUGCAUACAUUUUUUACUAAUGUGAUAGUGUUGCCUUGGGAUGACAGGGAUGGAAGUUGGAUGGCUCUGUGUAUAAAGGAUGUAUUUAAACACCACAGUUAUUGUGUAGAUAGGGACAUUCGUGCUGGAACUUCGUACCAAUUCUUUUAUCUUUAAUCAAUAAAAAAUCCGUGCGCUUUUCUCAGUCAUGUAUGCUAUGCAUGGCUGACAGCAGACUGCAUAUCAGACACUUGGAAAUUUCAGUCAGAACCCAAAUUCUGAAAAGGUGGAAAUUGAAUUCUUGCAGGCUGAUGGCUUGAGAAAGGGUUAGGAGUGACAUGAAAGAAAAAUGAAUAUACAAGUCAAUGUUUGUUGAAUUAUUGUGAAUCAGCUGAUGGAAUUAGCUGCUUACUAACUGUUAACAACAGAAGAAAGGCUGAAAGGUGUCACGAGUAAGGAAAAUCUAAGGAACUUUCACAAGUAAUUUUUAAAUUUUUUUAAAUUUUAUUCUUAUAUGUAGUAACAAGGGUGAUUCAGACAUCAAAAGAAGAAGAAGAAUGACAACUGUUAAUCCUAGAUACGUGCUUAGGAAUUGGAUGGCAGAAUCAGCAGUGCAGAAAGCUAACCUGAAUGAUUUUUCAGAGGUUCAGCUCCUGCAGCAGGUCUUGCAGCGUCCCUUCCAGAGGCAGCAGGCUGCAGAGAAAGCAGGCUAUGCCCUGCGCCCGCCUGCUUGGGCCAGGGGUCUUAAAGUGAGCUGCUCGUCCUGAGGGAAACUUGAACAAGCAGAACUGUCGGAGUUCAGACUUUCUGAUAGGACUGAGGAAGCCUUACUCCCUCGUGCAUUGUGGACUGGAAUCUGCUGCUCUGCUAGACAACUUCUUGACCAACUUUAUAAAGUCUAAAGAUUAAAGAAAUGGACCACUAUGUAUGUUUGCAUCACCAAGUUGCACCGGUAUUUGUGGCCAUCUUGGGAGUGACUUACCCAAAGUACCUUCGCCAGAGUCAGGUGUGUGCUAAACCUGCCUCUCUGUUCCUGUUCUCUGUUCCUCUCUUCUUUCUUUGUAUGAAGGUAUAUGGAUAUAAUGACUCAGGGAAUUUUCACAGGUAGCACUUGAAAAUGGGCUUCCUUGCAAGUGUCCCGUUAUGUGUAUUCUCAGGUCCGUAUACCUUUUGUAUUCAGCUUCCUGCUGAUCUGACAAACACAUUUCCAAGCUGUUACUUAGCAGCAUACCUUGAAUUGUAACCAGCAGGACUCAUCUUUGGUUUUAGUCCAGUGUCUGUAUUUGACAUUGCAAUUCUAGAUCAUGAAACUAAGUGUAUAAAUUAAAACAAAAUUAAUAUAUAAGCAAUCAGGUGCAAUGUAAUGCUACAAAGCUUAUAGCAAAAUUCGCUUAUCUGGGGCUUUGUUACUUGUUGAUGCUACCUCAGCUUUUCCCAGUUCCAACUGUCCUGAGUGCUGCUUGCAUCUGAAAUGAAGGCUGUGCUAUGAUUAGCAAUUCAUAAAUCUGUUUCUAUACAAGUAUAAUUAGCCAGGGAAAAAUAUAUUAUUAGAAAUCUUCCACUGACUAAAAAAAAUUCACAAAUGUGUUUGCUUCUUAAGUACAGUCAACACAAUUAUUUGGGAUGUUUCUUCUUUGGCUAUAUGGUUGCUCAGCCUGAAUUAACUCCUUAUGCAAGCAGUAAGUGCUCUUCUGCAGCAGCUGGAAUGAGCAUUUGAGGCAGCACUGCCCCAGCUAAGAGCAGUGGGCUGACGAGAGCUCCUGUAGGAGCCCUGCUGCAGCUGGUGGCAUUCACAGCUGGAGGGAACACUGCUGCUGAUACCUGUUCUACAGUAAUUUGAAAACAGCAUGUUCUGCUGAAAUGGUAUCUUGACUGUUCUGCUUUCAUAAAAGUCACCGCUGACUGUUGCAGGGUAUUUUGCAGGACCAUGACAAUUUGUAAGUCUUAACUAUACUGAAUCUCUUCUGCUCUGCUUGUCUCUCAGAGACAACACACAUGCUUCCCAGUUAGUAUGAGGCUGUUAAUGGUAACUCAUAAAUAAGAGUUUUGUACUUUUUCCAUGAGAGGGCAGUAAGGCACUGGCAGUGCUGCCCAGAGGAGCUGUGGGUGCCACAUCCCUGGAAGAGCUCCAGGUUGGAUGGGGCCGUGGGCAGCAGCAUCUGCUGGGGAGCAGCCCUGCCCAUGGCAGAAGGUGAAAGUGGAUGGGCUUUAAGGUCCUGUCCAGCCCAACCAUUCUGCCAUUCUCUGAUUGAGACUUGUGCCACAUGAUCCACUUAAGUUUCUAUUUUUUUCUCAAAGUACAUGAAAAAGAGCACUUGAAAAACACAUGAAAUUAUCUCAACACUACCACAGAGAAGUGAGCCCACAUCUUGCUCAGAAUUUUGUACCACCUGACUUUCUAUAUCUGAGUUUUAAUUCCUGGUGGUUAAUGAUUACAGUGUAAGCAUUAAUAGUGUGUUUCCUGACAUACUUCCUGAAAUUCUUACAUUGGCUUUUGCCCGAUACUCUGGAGCUGCCUCUUCCUUCACAUUAUGUAAACACAACAGUGAUGGAAAAGCAGAUGGGGAGUAGCAGUACUGAGGCUGGCUGAGGUAUUUGUGCUGUCCUUUCUACACCCGAGGGCUGCCAGGAGAUUCAGCAGCGGUGACCCUCACAUGCAGACACCUUUCUCACAAAGCUCUGCCUUUUUACUCUUAAGGACUGAUGCAAAGCUGAUCUCUUGGGGUAGGUCCUUCUCUCCUCUCCGAGAUGUCAGAGCCCAAAGAAGACAGUGCUGAGGCUGCUUCCACUUCAGCUGUGGGAAGAGGUUAAAGAGAACAUGCUGCAGCUUCAAGGUUUUAAAACCAUCAUACUGCAGCCUCUGAUAACGUACAUACUGCUUGGACCUACAGGAAUAAGACAAUUUCAUAUGGCAAUAAUGUAGAUAAAUGAGAAUUUUUUUUUUUUAAUACUUUGAUCUAUUGUCUUGAAGAUCUUUCUCUACUUUGUGGUAUCAUUUUUGUGCCAAAUGAAGGCAGACAAUUGUGUAUCAUUGAGAUGAUGGCUCUGUUUCUGAAUGGAAAGUUGGAAUAUUUACAUUUCAGAAAUUCAACACAACCAUUCUGUAUGCAGAAUAGUUGAUCGAGGCCUCAUCAUUGUGGCAUUUGAAUCGAUCUCUGGAGUUUUGUGUAGGCUUUCAUUCUUCUUGUUUUGAAGACAGCAAGGUUUUCCUUGUGAAGUAUCAAGCAUGUGGGUUAUGAUUGACUGAGAAUGUGAAAUGUAUAAAAUUGAGUUUAUUGUGCUGCAAUAGAAAGGAGGAAAGGUGGCAGGAAGCUGAGUGCUCUUGGGAGAAGAGUGAAAGCUGGGAAAGCCAUGUAAAAAUCUCAGUGCUCUGUGAACAGGGAAAGUGGCUUUUUGUGCAGCCAUGGUUUAAGUUGACACUGAGUAUAUAUUUCAUAAAAGAGAAUUCAUUCAGUUUAAAAAUGGUUGGAUAGCAGACAGCUGUUCUCCUGUCUGAAUCAAACCUCUGCACUCCCAAUAACUGGGCACAAAACCCCCAGCUCCUCUGCGUUUAGUGAUUCUGCACAAUGUUUAUACCAGUUAGAUAUGGAAAAUAAAUGGGAGAUAUAGAUCCUAUGUCAUCAUUUUAACCCUUGAUUUUAAUCCUCCUUUUAAUUAGUAGGUGGGUGAGCCCUGUUUAAACUGCUCGUAUAUCCCCACAUGGUGGCCCUGGCAGUCAGUACCCAAUCCAUCUGUCUGUGCAGGAACACAACCAGCUCUGUGUGUGAGACAGACUGGGAGAAACAGAAGUAUGGAACCAAAAAGGUGGAGGCAAAAAUUCCCUGCAAGGAACCAAAUCCAAGUAAUUAACUGCGACACUGCAGUUACAAAAUAGAAGCUAUUUUUAUUUAAGCACUAAGAGUGACUGCUAUCUAAUGAACAACAGAGAAUUAAACUGGAGAACAAAGGGGAAAAAAGUAGGAAGAGACAUAUUCAUAUCAGGUAUGAGAUAAAGUCUUUAUGAAGACAGACUACUCCUAGGUACACUUUGAAGACAAAUGUUUACCAAGAGAUGACAACCUUGCUACUGGGGGGAACGCAACGUUUUGAGGUAAGAAUUUUUCUUUAUUGAAAAUUAAUCAAAUUAAUGAGAUUUAAAGGCAG